UCCGGGAAAAAAACGUUUAUCCAAAAAAAAAGUAACCACUUUUCCUCAAUUAAAUCUCUCUCUCUCUCUCUCUCUCUUGACAAAAAAAAAAUUCUCUCUCUUUCUCUCUUAUAUCCGCUUCGAUAUUCAUCAAUAAAAAAAGGGAUCGAAGAAUCACAUCCACUGAAAGCUAUAUUCUGGUUAUCAACUUCAUUGACUCAACUAUUUUUUAAAUCCAUCGAUCUAUUCUCAGAUAGAUUUCUGUUUCCAUGAGUAGAUCGGCCAUCACGUUUCGACUUUGGAGACAUCAUAUUGAAAAGUCAAAAUCUUCAUUGAUAGAAGAUAAUCACGUCCAUGAAGCCAGGUUCUCGUGCUAGAAAGAGUCCUUCAGGAGACCAGCUAAGGUAUGGAAUACCAAGACCCUUGACUCGGAAAGACAGAUCAUGGCUUCAGUUUUUAAAACGGGGAUAAAUCGUCUGCAAUCCUUUGAUCGGUGAAGGCGGGAAGUAAUAGUACACCAACUAAUCCGUUAUGGAGAAAUAGAUGGACAGUCAUCAUAAGUGAUAAGAGAAGCUCACACUGAGUACGGAGACAAAGACAGAGAGAUGAGAUUAACUUGUGACAUCACAGAGCAUAGGGAGCGAAGACCAAUGAGUAAGUCAACCACCUUGACGAUCAACAUACUUAUAAAACGAACCCGAAAGCACAGCAUCAUCUGCUAUUGUCAUCCUGUACUUAUGCUGUGAUGUUCGGUACUGACCACCAGCUGCAGUCACGGAUACGUUUUGAACAACUCCCCAUUUAUCAAUGGGUAAAACACGUUGAACUCGGUACAUGAGACUUGGUUUGCAGGAAGCAUGGAUCUUGUUUCCCUAAAAAACACAAGAAUAUAUUAGAUUCAAAGGAACAUAAGUAAUGUUAAAAGAGAAGAAAUGGUGUAGAUGAAAAGUUACCCAUUGGUCUGCUAAAACCAUCUCAAAGCUAUCACCUCCGGAAGAUGUAUGUUGCUUCCAUGAAUGUAAACAUUUCACUUGAACUCUCCAACUGUUUUUGAAAGGUCUAGUUUUGUGAAAGGAGUAUAAGCAGUCACGAUAGACAUGUUUAGGAUUUAGUUUUUUUUUUUGAUAUGUUUGUGACGUUAGAUGAAGUGUAUCUAUAUAUAUAGUUGUGAUUGGAAAAAGUAAUAAAAGAUUUUGUUAGUUGUGAGCUA